CUACGGGGUGCUCCAGUGAGGAAUAUUGCACAAUGGAGGAAACUCUGAUGCAGCAACGCCGCGUGGAGGAUGACGCAUUUCGGUGUGUAAACUCCUUUUAUAUGUCAAGAAAAUGACGGUAGCAUAUGAAUAAGCACCGGCUAACUCCGUGCCAGCAGCCGCGGUAAUACGGAGGGUGCAAGCGUUACUCGGGAUCACUGGGCGUAAAGGACGCGUAGGCGGGAUAUCAAGUCAGGUGUGAAAUCCUACAGCUUAACUGUAGAACUGCACUUGAAACUGGUAACCUAGAGUAUGGGAGGGGGAGAUGGAAUUAGUGGUGUAGGGGUAAAAUCCGUAGAUAUCACUAGGAAUACCUAAAGCGAAGGCGAUCUCCUGGAACAUAACUGACGCUAAGGCGUGAAAGCGUGGGGAGCAAACAGGAUUAGAUACCCCAGUAGUC
rnacentral:rRNA from 1 species